rnacentral:tRNA from 1 species
GACCGAAUGGCGUAGUGGUUAGUGACGCUGACUACUGAGCCGAUGGUCCCGGGUUCGAUUCCCGGCUGGGGCA